AGUGUAGGUGGUAUCACAAGUCAGAAGUGAAAGCCCGGGGCUCAACCCCGGGACUGCUUUUGAAACUGUGGAACUGGAGUGCAGGAGAGGUAAGUGGAAUUCCUAGUGUAGCGGUGAAAUGCGUAGAUAUUAGGAGGAACACCAGUGGCGAAGGCGGUCUACUGGGCACCAACUGACGCUGAGGCUCGAAAGCAUGGGUAAGCAAACA
rnacentral:rRNA from 1 species